GAUGAACGCUGGCGGCGUGCCUAAUACAUGCAAGUCGAGCGAACAGACGAGGAGCUUGCUCCUUCGACGUUAGCGGCGGACGGGUGAGUAACACGUAGGUAACCUACCUAUAAGACUGGGAUAACUUCGGGAAACCGGAGCUAAUACCGGAUAAUAUUUCGAACCGCAUGGUUCGAUAGUGAAAGAUGGCUUUGCUAUCACUUAUAGAUGGACCUGCGCCGUAUUAGCUAGUUGGUAAGGUAACGGCUUACCAAGGCAACGAUACGUAGCCGACCUGAGAGGGUGAUCGGCCACACGGGACCUGAGACACGGUCCAGACUCCUACGGGAGGCAGCAGUAGGGAAUCUUCCGCAAUGGGCGAAAGCCUGACGGAGCAACGCCGCGUGAGUGAUGAAGGUCUUCGGAUCGUAAAACUCUGUAUUAGGGAAGAACAAACGUGUAAGUAACUGUGCACGUCUUGACGGUACCUAAUCAGAAAGCCACGGCUAACUACGUG
rnacentral:rRNA from 1 species